rnacentral:piRNA from 1 species
UAUCGGGUUUCUGAACCCUGGGC